rnacentral:rRNA from 1 species
AAUCUUCCACAAUGGACGAAAGUCUGAUGGAGCAACGCCGCGUGAGUGAAGAAGGUUUUCGGAUCGUAAAACUCUGUUGUUGGAGAAGAACGUGUUUGAUAGUAACUGAUCAGGUAGUGACGGUAUCCAACCAGAAAGCCACGGCUAACUACGUGCCAGCAGCCGCGGUAAUACGUAGGUGGCAAGCGUUGUCCGGAUUUAUUGGGCGUAAAGCGAGCGCAGGCGGUUUCUUAAGUCUGAUGUGAAAGCCUUCGGCUCAACCGAAGAAGUGCAUCGGAAACUGGGGAACUUGAGUGCAGAAGAGGACAGUGGAACUCCAUGUGUAGCGGUGAAAUGCGUAGAUAUAUGGAAGAACACCAGUGGCGAAGGCGGCUGUCUGGUCUGUAACUGACGCUGAGGCUCGAAAGCAUGGGUAGCAAACA